rnacentral:rRNA from 1 species
UGGGGAAUAUUGCACAAUGGGCGCAAGCCUGAUGCAGCCAUGCCGCGUGUAUGAAGAAGGCCUUCGGGUUGUAAAGUACUUUCAGUCGGGAGGAAGGUGGUAAGGUUAAUAACCUUAUCAAUUGACGUUACCGACAGAAGAAGCACCGGCUAACUCCGUGCCAGCAGCCGCGGUAAUACGGAGGGUGCAAGCGUUAAUCGGAAUUACUGGGCGUAAAGCGCACGCAGGCGGUUGAUUGAGUCAGAUGUGAAAUCCCCGGGCUUAACCCGGGAAUUGCAUCUGAAAAUGGUCAACUAGAGUCUUGUAGAGGGGGGUUAGAUUCCAUGUGUAGCGGUGAAAUGCGUAGAGGUGUGGAGGAAUACCGGUGGCGAAGGCGGCCCCCUGGACAAAGACUGACGCUCAGGUGCGAAAGCGUGGGGAGCAAACAGGA